AAGAUCGGGGGUGGCCAUCCGGCAGGCUUACCAUGCAGUCGAACGCCCCGCAAGGGGAGUGGCAGACGGGUGAGUAACGCGUGGGAACAUACCCUUUCCUGCGGAAUAGCUCCGGGAAACUGGAAUUAAUACCGCAUACGCCCUACGGGGGAAAGAUUUAUCGGGGAAGGAUUGGCCCGCGUUGGAUUAGCUAGUUGGUGGGGUAAAGGCCUACCAAUGCGACGAUCCAU
rnacentral:rRNA from 1 species